rnacentral:rRNA from 1 species
AAAGGAAUAGACGGGGGCCCGCACAAGCAGUGGAGUAUGUGGUUUAAUUCGAAGCAACGCGAAGAACCUUACCAGGGCUUGACAUACCGAUGACGGGGUUAGAAAUAGCCCUUCCCUUUGGGGCAUUGGAUACAGGUGGUGCAUGGUUGUCGUCAGCUCGUGUCGUGAGAUGUUGGGUUAAGUCCCGCAACGAGCGCAACCCUUGUUGUUAGUUGCCAGCACGAGAGGUGGGCACUCUAACGAGACUGCCGGUGAUAAAUCGGAGGAAGGUGGGGAUGACGUCAAAUCAUCAUGCCCCUUAUGUUCUGGGCUACACACGUACUACAAUGGCGACCACAGAGGGAAGCAAUACCGCGAGGAGGAGCAAAUCCCGAAAAGUCGCCCCAGUUCAGAUUGCAGGCUGAAACUCGCCUGCAUGAAGGCGGAAUUGCUAGUAAUGGCAGGUCAGCAUACUGCCGUGAAUACGUUCCCGGGCCUUGUACACACCGCCCGU